CCUCAUCAAGCAGGUAAACCUCUUCCUUCUUUUUUAGACUAGUUGUAGCAAUGAUGUGGGCUACCUUAUUAGCCGAUCUCGGAGUAAAAAGAAAAUUAAUAGCCUGAAAGUUGUCUUUUUCUCUUUGAAUGUUGCUGAUAUACGCACUAACUUGCGAUUUAUCCCUGAAUUGUGCCAUGCAUUUGCUGAUAAUUGUUUUGGAGUCCCCUUCAACAGCAAUGUCUGUGAAACCCAUGUCUUUCCCCGUGAGAACAGCUUCAUAACAGGCAAUAGCUUCCGCCUCAAAUGUCGUGGCCACCAUUGAGUGAAGGUAGGAUUUGGCUAUUUUAAUGCCCCCUUUAUAAUUUCUCGCUACUAUUGCAGAUGUCGACUGGUAAUUCUUCUCGUCAAAAGAGGCAUCAAAAUUGAUUUUGAUAGUUGAUUGUGCAGGUACCUUCCACUUAACAUGUUGCGGGGCGUCUCUGAGCUUUCUCUUGUUCAGUCCAUCAAUUUUGCCAAGGUAAUGCCUUACAAAACAAGCUGCUUCUUCCCCUGUAUAAGACUUACCCUCAUGUAAAUUUUUGUUUCUAUCCAUCCAUAGCACCCAAAUAACACAUAUCACCAUUCGUCGUUGUGCUAUGGUACAUUUGUUGAAAAUCCAAAUAAGCCAUUCAAGACCUUCAUGUGAACCACUUUGCCUAAUCCAACUGAAAUUUAAAUUCUUCCAUAAUUCUUCUACCACAAGACAUUCCACGAAUACAUGCCGAAAGUUUUCCUCGCCUGCUCUAUAUUUGAGGCAUGUGGCAUUUGGAGCCACUUUUCUUUGAUAUAGAUUAGCCAUCGUGGGAAUGUAAUUCCAC
rnacentral:lncRNA from 1 species